UACGGGGGGAGCAAGCGUUGUUCGGAUUUACUGGGCGUAAAGGGCGCGUAGGCGGCCAGCGCAAGUCAGUUGUGAAAUCUCCGGGCUUAACUCGGAACGGUCAACUGAUACUGCGCGGCUAGAGUGCAGAAGGGGCAACUGGAAUUCUCGGUGUAGCGGUGAAAUGUGUAGAUAUCGAGAGGAACACCUGCGGCGAAGGCGGGUUGCUGGGCUGACACUGACGCUGAUGCGCGAAAGCCAGGGGAGCGAACGGG
rnacentral:rRNA from 1 species